GAGGCCUCGCCCAACUAGUCCUGGUAUGCCUGGGGCUUCCCGGGUUUUAGCACUGAAAGGCCCACGUCCCGGACGAACCGGGACAGUUGGUCCCCCUCCGUGAGCAAACUUGCUCCUCCGCCCGGAGGGGAGAAGGCGGGGCCGAUGGGCCCCACCCCAGCGCGCAGGGCCUUCAGCCAUUGACCGAGAGCGGGACAGAGCACCCGGGCGAGCUCUGCCGGGCAACCCGAGCCCGAUUCUCAGCCGCUGCCCAGAGCCUCUCAGCCUCAGGCCCCUCCCUGGCACUGCCUUUCCCAGACCCGCUUCUUCCUGGAAAAUCAAGGUUGUCUUUGAAUAAAGCAGAUCAUCCUCCAUAACAUGGGUGGGCCUCCUCCAAUCAGUUGAAGGACUUAAUGGAACAGCCUGACCUCCCCUGAGCAAGAAGGAAUUCUGCCAUCCCACAGCCUUCAAACUUGAACUUCAACAUCAGCUCUUCCCUGGAUCUCCAGCCUGCCAGCGCCCCCUGCAGAUUUUAGACUUGCUAGCCUCCAUAAUCAUAUUGAGCUGAGCUGGAGAGUGUGCCUGGCAAAACCUGAGCCCCAAGCAUUUCUGCCCUGAUUGGAUCCUUGUCACUAACCAAGCUUAUUCCAAGCUUGGGACCUUUACACCGUCCUCUGCCUGGAAUCCCCAAGAUGGAUGCACAGCUGGCUCCUUCCAAUCAUCGUUCCAGUCUCACUUCAUGCGUCACCUCAGGGAGGUGACCUGAUCACCAUCAUUGUAGGUCCUUCUGGUUGUGCUAUGCAGGACGCUGCCCCAGCAUGGCUUGAUGAGCGGUGCCAUGUCCCCGCCCAGGAUCUGAACCGGCAAAACCCUGGGCCGCUGAAGCAGAGUGCGUGAACUUAACCACUCGGCCACGGGGCCGGCCCUCAGCACUUUCUUUUUAAAACUCCUAGAAUCCAACUAAUGAAAACUAAUUUGCUGAAAAAUCAAUGUGCUGAAUUCUUAACGAUUUGGGGAAAAUUUGAGUUUCACUCUAGUCCUGGGUGGUACCAGACAAACACCUUCAACCAAGUCUAGGUCAAUUCACUGCAGCUGUCCUGCAGCCAGAGGCAGCAGCAUGGAUGAUAGCAAAGCAAAAUCUUGGGGGGGAAAUCCCUAGGCAUGGGUUGACUUGGUCACUUAGCAAUUGGGUAUACAGGGGAGGAUCCCAGGCAGUGGGGUGGCCUCUUUCCAUGGGGCCCAGGGCCAAGCUGGGGGUGGGAUUAGAAGCGAAGAUGAGGGGUAGCAAGGUCCAUCUCAAAGUGGAGCUUUUCCAACAUACUGAGAGCCAUGAGCUGAGCCACACCCCAAGAAGAUGCUCUGGUAAAUCUGCAUGAUCUUGGCUUGACACUGGAAUCUUAGGUAUGACACCUAAAGUACAGACAACAAAAGAAAAAAUAGAUCAAUUGGAUUUCAUCAAAAUUAAAACUUUUUUGUAUCAAAGGACGUUAUCAAGAAAGUGAAAAGACAAACUACAGAAUAGGAGAAAGUAUUUGUAAAUCAUAUAUCUGAUAUACAUCCAGAAUAUAUAAAGAACUCUUAUGAAAGACAAACAUCAUAUGAUUUCACUCAUAUGUGGAAGAUAAACAAACACACAGAUAAGGAGAACAGAUUAGUGGUUACCAGAGGUGAAGGGGGUUACUGGAGAGGAAGGGAGGGUGAAAGGGGUAAAGAGGCAUGUGUGUGUGGUGACAGAUAAAAACUAGACUAUUGGUGGUGAGCACGAUACAGUCUAUACAGAAACUGAAAUAUAAUAAUGUACACCUGAAAUU
ensembl:lncRNA